GGGUGUCUAAAACAUUUACUAAAAAUGAUAUUGUAACUAUUUGAAUAAAAUAAAAAUAUUCAAUAAAAUAUUCUAAUUUCUUGUAAAAUAAUAUUUAUAGAGUCAUCGAUAAAUAAUUUUUUGUAAUGUAAAAGCUAAAUAAAUUCAUAUGUACUAUAAUACAGAUAACCAGGAUAUGAAAUUUACUUUACAGCAACUCGUGGGCCAACAAGGAACAAAAGUGCAAAAAAGCAGUAAACCUACAGUUUUUGGAGUAGUAAAGCCAACUAUAAUCCUUGACGAUAUCUACUAUCCACAAGCUACCUCGGGUCUGAAAGGGUUGAAAAAGAAGGUAGUGAGAUUAUAAAAUCCUAGUGAGUAAAUAGAUACCAUCUAAACCAUCUAAAGUCGAGUAAAUGGAGAUAGAUAAAAUAGUUUAACAUACUGAAAUUCAUCACCUUUCAACUUGUUUCAACUAAAUAAAAUGAAUUCAUAUAAAUCGAGUAAUUAACAUGGCUUAUGAAUUUCUUAAAAGAUUUGGCUCGUGCCAAAAUCAUUCUCAUACUUAGUUAUCAGGGAUACCUUGGCCGCGGGCUAUCCCAAACCGAGUCCGCCAAGGCUAUAAAAAAGUUAUGUACUCCUAAAUCAUGUUUUUUAUUUUUAAAAUAUAGUUGUUCUUUGGCAUUGGCUAAGUUCGCCUUCACGUGGUGGUUUGGCGUGAAGUGAACUCUAAAAGUUAUACCUCAGGAGUUGCCCUACUCGCCUCUCCAACCGAGGUAAGAAUAUGACCAGGUUCAGUGCCCCUUUAAUCGACUAGUCCACAAAACCAGCCCACUGCAGCAAGCUAAACCUACCAUACAAUAAAAUUUGCAACAACAUGAUAUGACAAUUUUAUCAUUAUCCAGCCUAUCAAGGCAAACAAUAGUUUAUACAUUUCAACACAAAUACCAAUUUAGCCAUUCAUGCCAAUAUUGUCAUAAGCCAAUCAAUUAGAACCAUAAAUUCACAAUACAUCAAAUGGUCUCCAAUUACUCUAUUUGAAAAGCCAUUAUUCAAUUUUAAAAUAAUUUUAUGAAAUCAUUUCACUAAAUCACAUUUUGUUUAUAAAAUCGAAAGAUUAAUCAUUUAAUUCAUUUUCCAUGAAAUUCACAAAAUCGGAUAAAAAUCACUUUAGAUAAUUAAGACGAUAGUAAGGUUACUCACAAUACUAGGAGUUCGAUAUACUCCUAUUCCCGAUCUUCGGGCACAAUCUCUUUACCCUUGUUAGAGGGCUCACCACUUAUACAUCAUACGUGACACGAAUUUUAAUAAAUUGUGUCAAUGUAUCAUAAACUAUUUCAGGCUCUAUAAAUCUAUAUGAAUGAAGGAAAUGUGAUGCAAAAUGUCCGAAUAGCCGUUUAAAUACGAUAUUCGACCUAAUUCGCACUAUUCUCAGUGUAAUUAGCUAAAACCUCCAAUUUAACUCUAAAUCGAUUUCUUUCACUUUCUACACUCCAAUUAUACUUAAAAUACCUCAAUGAUUGUGAAUAUGAUUCAAUUUAUCAGUCCAAACCAUAAAUCGCACAUGUCUAUACAUUAGGUAAAAAUUCAUAUUUUCAUGCCAAAAUUUCCCAUUAAAUUUCUAGCCUCACCAAUCAUUAAAUACCACCAAAAUAUCAUGAAAUAUCAUCAAUUUCAGCCUUAAUAUUCUCCCUAGAAAAUUUGGCCUCUUGUGGGUUUGUGAAGAACAAAGUGAUUCCUUGCUAGAUUUUCAUACUUUCCAUUACCAAACAACCAAAAACACUUAAUUAGCUUGAAAUCUAGCAAAAUCAAUGCUCAAAACCUCUCCUCUCAAAUUCGGCCAGCAUGGGUUCAUCAUGCAAACUUGAGUUCUAAGCAUGAAAAAUGAAAAAGAAAGCAUGGGUAGUGUAAAUCACAAGAUCAAAUCACAAAAUUUUACCUUUAUUAGCUUAAUCCCUUGAAAUCCCACACUUUUUCUUCAAUUUUCCCACCUAGGGUUUCUGUUCUCUCCUUUCCUCUUCCUUUGUUCUUCUUUUGC
rnacentral:lncRNA from 1 species